rfam:Musca domestica strain aabys unplaced genomic scaffold Scaffold18784, whole genome shotgun sequence.
CAAAAGGCUUUCAAAGCCACCAAGAGUAUUUUUAAAAGUAUUU